CCGCCCGGGCUCCGGUGUGAAGACCCGCAGGAAUCCAACCGGGCCGCGACUUCGCCCGCGUUUCCCCGCCGGUUUGCUCGGGGUUAGGGUGGUUCGGAGGGGCUUAGCCUCUGCUUCUCGGCUCCGAGACUUCCUCUGGCCCGUCUGCCAGCUCGCGGGGGCCUGACGGAGGGCAAGCCGGCGCCGGAGACGAGAGGCGACAGGGUUGGGCCAGAUUGGAAAGAGGAUGUGAAACUUCAAAAAAUGCACGAGGGCAAGAGCAAAACAGCAACACGAGGGCCGCGCCCGGACGGCGUCUCCGAGCCAAACCGAAGAACCGACCUGUUCCCUGCUCUGUGUCAGCUGACCGUCUCCGUGGAAAUGACCGGCGGCAGUUCGGACGAGUCGGGAGGCUUGUCGACAGGGUCAAUCUGACUCCCCCGCCCCCUCCCACCCCGACCUCGCAACCCUCCCACCCCAGGCCCCCGACCCUCUGACCUCAAUCCUGCCGGCCCCCUCUGCACGUCCCCCCCCCCCCCAUUCCCUUGGUUCCCAGAACUCCCUGGCCCGGCUCCCACCCCCCUGGUUCCCCGAUCCUCUGACCUCAAAACUCCCAGCCUCCCUGUUGCCCUCCCCCCCUCCAAGGUAAUAAUAAUGAUGAUGGAACUUGUUAAGCCCUUACUGUGUGCC